AGUGAACGCUGGCGGUAGGCCUAACACAUGCAAGUCGAACGGCAGCACAGUAAGCGCUUGCUCUUACGGGUGGCGAGUGGCGGACGGGUGAGGAAUACAUCGGAAUCUACUUUUUCGUGGGGGAUAACGUAGGGAAAGUUAUGCUAAUACCGCAUACGACCUACGGGUGAAAGCAGGAGAUAUUCGCACCUUUCGCGUUUGAAUUAGCCGGUGUCGGGUUAGAUAGUUGGGUGGGUAAAGGCCCACCAAGGCAACGAUACGUAGCUGGUCUGAGAGGAUGAUCAGCCACACUGGAACUGAGACACGGUCCAGACUCCUACGGGAGGCAGCAGUGGGGAAUAUUGGGCAAUGGGCGCAAGCCUGACCCAGCCAUACCGCGUGGGUGAAGAAGGCCUUCGGGUUGUAAAGCCCUUUUGUUGGGAAAGAAAAGCAGCAGGUGAAUACCCCGCUGUUUUGACGGUACCCAAAGAAUAAGCACCGGCUAACUUCGUG
rnacentral:rRNA from 1 species